UCUUUAGCAAAUAUGUUCUGUCAGAAUUUACAUCAGUGAUGAAGACCAGCGGUUAAGAAAGAAUGUAAUCAUUGCAGUGAUUAUGUGAGGUAGAGUUAGAUGUUGCAAGUUCGCUGAGGCCUGGAUACCACUGCAUCAAUGGGAUUUUGUUAGAUUGGUUUGAUCGAUAGGCAGUGCAGCAGCAAGGGUGUGAGUCAUCACAUGGUCACUGGACCAAGGAUCGUAUCUCGGCAGUGGCCUUUUCCUCUCUGCUGUAAGGGAAUUGCUUGUGGACUGUCAUCUUGGCAUCACUCGGGGAACUCAUGGAGGUGUGAAGGUGUACCUGGCAGACGCCCACAACUCCAUCUGUGGAUCUCAUCUGCGAGCUGUGGCACAUAUACUUCCACUGAUAGCACAGACUACACACAGGAACAGACAGAUUGCUCCAGCGGUGCUACCUGAUGUCAGAGUGAGUGUACCUUCCUGUCGGUAUGUAUGCGUGUCUAAACGAAGAGUGGAUGGCUGCUGUGCUCAUGUGUGUGCUGGUGUACUCCACCCAGGUGUUCUCUAAGGAUCUCGUCGUGCAGGCUGACGCACAAAUGACAGAAGACAUGAUCACGUGUUGGACCUGCCCCAACAUGACAUCUAACGGCGAGUGCAAUGGAUGGGCUCCAGAUAUAAAGUGCCCUGCAGCGCAAACAGUAUGCCGGACAGUCCAUCGGUUCGAGUCAGCGACGGGCUCAAGUGUGUUGGUCAACAAGGAGUGUGUGGCACCCUCCCAGUGCAGCAGAAGCCAUGUUGGGUGCCGUGCAACAGAUAGUCAGUCACUCAAAGAGUGUGUAUCCUGCUGCAGAACAUCCUACUGUAACAAGGAGGUAGCAGUGGACAACAAGACUGCCAUGCAGCUGUCUUUAUCUGUACUCAACAUCGCUACCCCUCCAUCCAGCCUGGCCCCUAGCUGUCUCCUACUGCUCAUGAUUCUCCAUUACUGUGUCACGUGAGACACCGCCAUCUCCGAGUUUCAUAUUGGUGCUGUCUCAGUGAGUCCGACUGUGCUGUUGUAUACAGAGGGUUUGCAGACCUCAAGUUGCCCUGUACAGUGAGUCCGACUGUGCUGUUGUAUACAGAGGGUUUGCAGACCUCAAGUUGCCCUGUACAGUGAAUAAACCUCUUGGUAAAACCCAAGCCAAAAAGUUAGUGGUCACAUGUGGAUGUAAUGCAAGAGAUCUCUAGGUCCGGACUGGCCCCAACAUAGAGCUGGGUUGAUGCAUGAUUAGUGUAGAAACAGCUUGUGUUAGCAGUGCAGUGACAGUAUUUAUUGCUGUGGAUUGUCAGUGUAGCUUUGACAAUCCUCAUCUCCAGUCGUGACCAGCAUAUCUGUGAUAAACAAAUACACUAUGUACCAGAAAUCAACCUUCUAGGUUUUGAAGAUCAGACAGUGAGAUCUUUUUCUAUGUGCAAUAUGAUUUCAGUGUUAGUGACAUUUGUGCUAACAGUAUGUGUUGACUGUAACACUCAUAGUUGGUGAUGUGUUGUGUGGUGUACACUGACUACAAUUACUGCUAACAUCCAACAGUCAGUGAAAUGACUUGAGUAGCCACAAAACAAAAUGCAUGGCAGUAAUGUUAGUCAUGUAAAUAAACAUUGACUAUCAAGUCUGUCUGGAGGUUGGCCCUGCAGGUGGUGCUGAUAUGGUGUAACAGAUGUACUGAUAUACCGAUGGUAUAACAGAGGGGAGUACAUAGUUGAGUGUGUACACAGAGGAAGGAGCAGGGACACACCUGGUAACAACAUUGUCAGGUUAAUAUGGAUGUACAUUAAAUGCAACAGUAAACUUCCUUUGCUAUA